CCACUCCGUAAUUUAGGCGAUCAAGCCAAUAAAUCUAAAAAGAUGCUUGGUAGGUUUAGGGACUUUAUACCGAGCUGCUCGUUGAUGGUCAAGAUUUAAUUCCAGGGAUUUCUCCUUACUGGAUGGUGUCUUUAUGGAAGUGACGAAGGAUCUAAUCUUGGUCACCUUUUCCGGCUGGGCUUUGUGACAAGCCUGAGUUUCUGCCAUGCCUCUCCCGCUGUUUUCCAGCCUUGGUUCUUAAUCCUCCUGUGCGACUGUUUGCUACAUUACUCGCCUGUUUUUCUUCUGAAUUUGAAGAAUUUGCUUACAAGCUCUUUGAUACGAGUGAGGUGUUGUGUUUUUCUGCUGUUUUAGUUGAGCCUCCCAUGAUUCAUUUGUUGGAGAUGGUAGUUUCAUUCUUUGCUUUGGCUGCUGCAGAUUCGGAUUCGGGUCAUGCACCCGUUUGUAGUCCUAGGGCUUCAUGUGGUCUGGGUUUUGGAACCCUUCUUUAUGAAUAUUUUCUCCUUAUUAAUUAAAAAAAAAAAUUUAUUUAGUAAAUCUAUUAAAAUUAUAAUUUAUAA